GGCAAGAUGGCCGAGCGGUCUAAGGCGCCAGGUUCAGGCCUACCUGAACUAACAGUACUUCACUAGAAGACUUUCCUGGUCUCGAAAGGGGCGUGGGUUCGAAUCCCACUCUUGUCA